UACGUAGGGUGCUAGCGUUGUCCGGAUUUAUUGGGCGUAAAGCGCACGUAGGCGGCUUUGUAAGUUAGAGGUGAAAGCCCGGGGCUCAACUCCGGAAUUGCCUUUAAGACUGCAUCGCUCGAAUUGUGGAGAGGUAAGUGGAAUUCCGAGUGUAGAGGUGAAAUUCGUAGAUAUUCGGAAGAACACCAGUGGCGAAGGCGACUUACUGGACACAUAUUGACGCUGAGGUGCGAAAGCGUGGGGAGCAAACAGG
rnacentral:rRNA from 1 species